GCCAUGUACGUCUAUGACCAAUUGUCAAUAUAAAGUGAAUCUGCAGAUGGCUCAUUAGAUCAGUUACGGUUUCGAGGGCCGAGCUUUUACUUGGAUAACUGUGGUAAUUCUAGAGCUAAUACAUGCAAUUAAGCGCCGACCCUUCGGGGGACGCGUGCACUUAUUGGGAACAAGGCCAGCCCGUUCCUUUCGGGGUUCGGACUACGCUGGUGAACUCUAGAUAAAAAGUCGAUCGUACGGUCUUGCACCGGCGACGCUCCUUCCAAAAGUCUGCUCUAUCAACUUUCGAUGGUAAGUUAUCCGCUUAUCAUGGUUAUGACGGGUGACGGAGAAUCAGGGUUCGAUUCCGGAGAGGGAGCCCUAGAAACGGCUACCACAUCCAAGGAAGGCAGCAGGCUCGCAAAUUACCCACUCCUAAUACGGGGAGGUAGUGACAAUAAAUAACGAUACAGGGUCUCUUCGGAGGCCCUGUGAUCGGAAUGAGUACACUUUAAAUCCUUUAACGAGGAUCUACUGGAGGGCAAGUCUGGUGCCAGCAGCCGCGGUAAUUCCAGCUCCAGCAGCGUAUAUUAAAUAUGCUGCAGUUAAAAAGCUCGUAGUCGAAUUUCUGACCGGGGCGGGCGGUCCGCCGCGAGGCGAGCACUGCCCGUUCCCCUUCUCCCCCUCAAAAGGGAGUCGUGGGAUUUAGUAAAGUUAUCCCGGUCAGUGAUUCGGUUGGUCGUGCGGUGCUCUUAACUGAGUGCGGUGCGAGAUCGAAACGUUUACUUUGAGAAAAUUUGAGUGUUCAAAGCAGGCCAAAGUGCCCGGAAGAAAUCAGCAUAGAAUAGUGGAAAAGGAUUUCGGUUCUAUUUCGUUGGUCUAUAGAACAUGAGAUAAUGAUCAAGAGGGACUGCCGGGGGCAUUCGUAUUGCGGCGGGAGAGGUGAAAUUCUUGGAUCGCCGCAAGACGUCCUACAGCGAAAGCAUUUGCCAAGAAUGUCUUCAUUUGAUCAAGAACGAAAGUCUGAGGAUCGAAGGCGAUUAGAUACCGCCCUAGUUCUGACCAUAAACGAUACCGACUAAUAUUUCGCCGGCGUUCCUCCCAUGACGCGGCGGGCAGCUCCCCGGAAAACCCAAGUUAUUGGGUUCCGGGGGAAAGUAUGGUUGCAAAGCUGAAACUUAAAGGAAUUGACGGAAGGGCACCACCAGGAGUGGAGCCUGCGGCUUAAUUUGACUCAACACGGGGAAACCUACCCGGCCCGGACACAGUAAGGAUUGACAGAUUGAGAGCUCUUUCUUGAUUUUGUGGAUGGUGGUGCAUGGCCGUUCUUAGUUGGUGGAGUGAUUUGUCUGGUUAAUUCCGAUAACGAACGAGACUCUGGCUUAUUAAAUAGUCUGGCCACCCUUCGAGGUGAGUCGAGAACUUCUUAGAGGGACAAAUGGCUUACAGCCAUACGAGAUAGAGCAAUAACAGGUCUGUGAUGCCCUUAGAUGUCCGGGGCCGCACGCGCGCUACACUGGCGCAAGCAGCGGGUUUGACCAAACCUAGGCCGAAAGGUCCGGGUAACCCGCUGAGGCUACUCCGUGCUGGGGACAGGGACUUGUAAUUAUGUCCCUUGAACGAGGAAUUCCAAGUAAACGCGAGUCAUCAGCUCGCAUUGAUUACGUCCCUGCCCUUUGUACACACCGCCCGUCGCUACUACCGAUCGAAUGACUUAGUGAGGCCAUCGGAUCGACCCUGUGGCAUUACCGACUUCGGUCGGUUGCCUAGGCGUUUUGAGAAGACGGUCAAACUUGAUCAUUUAGAGGAAGUAAAAGUCGUAACAAGGUUUCC
rnacentral:rRNA from 1 species